ensembl:lncRNA novel transcript
CAGUGGCACAAUCUUGGCUCACUGCAACCUCUACCCUCCUGGUUUCAAACGAUUCUCCUGCCUCAGCCUCCCGAGUAGCUGGGAUUACAGGCGCCUGCCACUGCGCCUGGCUAAUUUUUGUAUUUUUAGUAGAGACGGGUCUUCACCAUCUUGGCCAGGCUGGUCUUGAACUCCUGACCUCGUGAUCCACCUGCCUCAGCCUCCCAAAGUGCUGGGAUUACAGGCGUGAGCCACUGUGCCCUGCCAGGAUAAAAAAACUUUGAUAUCAAUACAUGGUUUUGGUUUUGAUUUUUUGGUUUUUGGUUUUUUUUUUUUUUUUGAGACAGAGUCUUGCUCUGUCGCCAGGCUGGAGUGCAGUGGCACGAUCUCGGCUCACUGCAACCUCCGCCUCUGGGGUUCAAGCAAUUAUCCUGCCUCGGCCUCCGGAGUAGCUGAGACUACCGGCGCGUGCCACCACACCUGGCUAAUUUUUGUAUUUUUAGUAGAGACAGGGUUUCACCAUGUUGGCCAGAAUGGUCUUGAUCUCUUGACCUCAUGAUCUGCCCGCCUCGGCCUCCCAAAGUGCUGGGAUUACAGGCGUGAGCCAAGUGCCUGGCCAUCAGUACAUGUUUUAUUGGGAGGUGGGAGGAUCACUUGAUGCCGGGAGUUCAGGACCAGCCUGAGCAACAUAGACUCUGUCUCUACAAAAAUAAAAUAAAACUUAGCGGGACAUGAUGGCCUGCAUCUGCAGUCCCAGCUACUUGGGAGGCUGAGGUGGGAGGAUGGUUUGAGCCCAGUAGUUCCAGGCUAUUGUGUGAGCUGUGAUGAUGGCACCACUGCACUCUAGCUAGGGCAACAGAGCCAGAUCCUGAGUCAAAAAUAAAUGUUUUAAAGAGUAUUAUUUCCUUUUACAAAUCUCCACUUGUUUCUAGGAAAUUUAGAAAUGAGAAAAGUAUUAUUUGCAAUGUCUGGAAUGCCAGAGUCUAACCUCUUAAAUAUGUGCUCAUAACCUCAGAUACUUGGUCUAUGCUUGAUAAUUAAUGGUUUUGAAUUGCAGUGUUUAUUAGUUUUGAAAAUUUGACCAGAAUUAAACAUAAAUACCACACAGCAGGUUCAGCAUUAUAGAAAAAGCCUCUUAAAUUGUUUUUAAAUAAAUGAAUCUGUUAUGUAUGUAAUUCAGUCAGUGUCAGAAAGAGAAGCACUUUUCAUAUACAAAAGGCAUCUCAGACCCUGGGUUGAAUGCAGCUUUUCAUGACAACUAAUUAGUAUGUAAACAAACUUUGGAAGUCUAGAUGUGUUUAAAGGGACUUCCUUACAAUUAAUCCAGCCAGGACAAUUUUGUGGUUACAAAAUACAGGACAGAUGGAAAUCUGACACCAGAGCCUAUACCCCCAAUAAAUGGGUUAAGAUUUAUAUCCUUGCAAAUGUUGUUUGUCUUCAUUUUUAUCUAACAGCCGUUUUUUUUUUUGAGAUAGUCUCACUUUGUCACCCAGGCUGGAAUGCAGCAGCACCAUUAUGGCUCACUGCAGCCUCGACCCCUGGAGCUCAAGCUAUUCUCCCGCCUCAGCCCCACAAGCAGCUGAGACUACAGGCGCACCCCACCACACCAGGCUAAUUUUUGCAGAGAUGGGGUUUCACCGUGUUGCCCAGGCUGGUCUCCAACUCCUGAGCUCAAGCUAUCCUCUUGCCUCGGCCUCCAAAAGUGCUGGCAUUACAGGCAUGAGCCUGUUACAGGCCGAAAGAAUGAGGGUCGUGACCAACUCAGUAUACCACUGGAGGCUAUAUGAGCAAAUAGAAAACUGUUCUCAUGAAAGCAGGAUGUUGGAAAACUAACAACUGUGUCUGCUGCCAGAAGGGUUGCUGAGGGCAGUCACACCCCAAGCACAGUGUUCCUUGUGAUUAUCUAUAGGAACAUCUGAAGCCUGUUGUACAAAGAAAGCAAUUAUGUAUACCUGUGAUAAAUCAAGCAACUGACCAACUGCUACCUCUCCCUCCCUGCUCUUUCUACCUAAUAAAUACGAAGGGCUGUAGAAGCUCAGGGCCCUUGCUCACUAGAAGGAGCCCCCUGACCCCUUCUUCCAAAAAUACUUUUUGUCUUUGUCUUCGUUUCUGCAUUCAUCCCCCUUCGUUCACUCCCAUAACAACCAACAGCGACAACUGGCACCUAGGACAGGGACGUGAGUGAAGGUCUGCUGGAGCAGAGAAACUGACACUGACAAGAAGAACGAGAAUGAGAAACCCUGCGACGAGUCUGCUGACAGCUAAUAUAAGUCUGCAAAAUCAGCUGGACCACCAAACGGCAAUUGAGAGCUGCACAACCUGCAAUUACCUUUAUUCAAUUAAUGCAAAAACAAAAAUGGGGAGAUGUUACAGGCCGAAAGAAUGAAGGUCGUGACCAACUCAGUAUACCACUGAAGGCUAUAUGAGCAAACAGAAAACUGUUCUCAUGAAAGCAGGAUGUUGGAAAACUAACAACUGUGUCUGCCGCCAGAAGGGUUGCUGAGGGCAGUCAUGCCCCAAGCGCAGUGUUCCUUGUGAUUAUCUAUAGUAACAUCUGAAGCCUGUUGUACAAAGGAAGCAAUUAUGUGUACCUGUGAUAAAUCAAGCAGCUGACCAACUGUUACCUCUCCCUCCCUGCUCUUUCUACCUAAU